UUAGGCUUUUGAUCAACGCCGGCAUUUCAAAGAAGACCUUUGUUCUGCUGGUCUCUCAGAAAGGCUUGCAGAGCAUGUCGCAUUCCCUGUGAGAAUUCAAGCAUGACCCUGCAUACCCAGACCGGCCAGCGUGGGGCCUGGCCAGGGCUGUAUCUACAGGAAAGGUCCACAGAGUCGCACGAGAGAAGUACGAAGGCAUAACGUUCUGCUGAUGUCCACUUUUCAUAGCUAAAGAGCCCCGCGGUGCAGGGAAACAGUCUUCAUCCCUUGACAGCCUGAACCCUUUACCAUCGUGGAGAACUCCAGAACUGUCUCAGCCUAGAUGAAACUUUCUGAGAAGGCUUACCUCAACGGGUGCUCCUCCUGAGCUCACAUAAUGCCCUUGUGCAAUGACAACUGGGCACUCCUCCCUGUGAAUUCAUCUGUGUCCUCAUCAGGCAGUGAGCCUCUCGAGGGCGAGGACUGUAUGGAGCCCUCAGCAUCUAGAACAGAGCCUGUCAAACCAAAGUGGGGAGCCCAGGGAAGAGUUGCUUCUGAUGGUAAGUAGGUUAAGACGAAGACCAGGGAUCUCAUUGGAGACUGCGUCCUCGCCAUCUUGAUGGUUUAGACUGAGGGAGUGCAAUGAACCACAGGUUGCACAAGAUUCAUUUCGGCUCUAGAUUUUAAUCAUUGUCUCUUUCAACGACUUUCCAUGCACACCCAACC
rnacentral:lncRNA from 1 species